ACUAGGAUUAGAUACCCUAUUAUAGGAAAAUUAAAUAAUAAUACUAAAAUAGUAGAUAAUAAUUUAUUGAAACUUAAAUAAUUUGGCGGUAUUUUAGUUCAUUUAGAGGAAUCUGUCUAAUAAUUGAUAAUCCACGAAUAAAUUUACUUAAUUUAAUAUUUUGUAUAUCAUUGUUAAAAAAAUAUUUUUUAAUAAUAAUAAUAUUUAAAAAUUUUAAAUAUAAAUUAACUCAGAUCAAGAUGCAGAUUAUAAUUAAGAUUAAAGAUGGAUUACAAUAAAUUUAUUUAAAUGGAAAAAAUUUUGUAAUAUUUGAUUGAAAGUGGAUUUAAAUGUAAUUUUAUUUAAUUUACUAACUCGAUAUU
rnacentral:rRNA from 1 species